GUCUUGACAUCCACGGAAGUUUUCAGAGAUGAAAUGUGCCUUCGGGAACCGUGAGACAGGUGCUGCAUGGCUGUCGUCAGCUCGUGUUGUGAAAUGUUUGGGUUAAAGUCCCGCAACGAGCGCAACCCUUAUCUUUUGUUGCCAGCGGUCCGGCCGGGAACUCAAAGGAGACUGCCAGUGAUAAACUGGAGGAAGGUGGGGAUGACGUCAAGUCAUCAUGGCCCUUACGACCAGGGCUACACACGUGCUACAAUGGCGCAUACAAAGAGAAGCGACCUCGCGAGAGCAAGCGGACCUCAUAAAAUGCGUCGUAGUCCGGAUUGGAGUCUGCAACUCGACUCCAUGAAGUCGGAAUCGCUAGUAAUCGUGGAUCAGAAUGCCACGGUGAAUACGUUCCCGGGCCUUGUACACACCGCCCGUCACACCAUGGGAUGUGGGUUGCAAAAGAAGUAGGUAGCUUNNCUUUCUGGAGNNNCAGCUUAACGCAAAAUGUGNUUNCNGAAUACCG
rnacentral:rRNA from 1 species